GUGUCAGCAGCCGCGGUAAUACGUAGGGGCCAAGCGUUGUCAGGAUUUAUUGGGCGUAAAGAGCUCGCAGGCGGUUGGGUAAGUCGGGUGUGAAAACUCCAGGCUCAACUUGGAGAUGCCACCCGAUACUGCUCUGACUUGAGUUCGGUAGGGGAGUGGGGAAUUCCUGGUGUAGCGGUGAAAUGCGCAGAUAUCAGGAGGAACACCGGUGGCGAAGGCGCCACUCUGGGCCGAAACUGACGCUGAGGAGCGAAAGCGUGGGGAGCAAACAGGAUUAGAAACCCCCGUAGUCC
rnacentral:rRNA from 1 species